rnacentral:rRNA from 1 species
CCCGGUGAUUAUAGCGGUGGAGAAACACCUCUUCCCAUUCCGAACAGAGAAGUUAAGCCUGCCAGCGCCAAUGAUACUGCCAUACCAGGUGGGAAAGUAGGUCAUCGCCAAAG